ensembl:lncRNA
GUCAGGGUUAAAUUCUGGGUUGCGGUUUGUGUUAGGGUUAGGGUAGUGAUUUGUUAGGGCUUGGCUUACGUUCAGUUUACGGUAAGGGUUUUGGAUUGGGUUAUAGGAGGGGUUAGGGGAUUGAGUUUUUAUAUGGGUAGGGUUAGGUAUAGGGUUAUUGUUAGGUUUAGUGUUAAGGUCAGGGUUAGGGUUAGGGUUAGGGUUAGGGUUAUGGUUAGGGUUAGGGUUAGGGUUAAGAUUAGGGUUAGGGUUAGGGUAGGGUUAGGGUUAUGGUUAGGAUUAGGGUUAGGGUUAGGUUCAGGGUUAACGCUAGGUUCGGGUAAGAUUUCGUAUAGGGUUAAAGUUAGGGUUAGGAUUAUGGUUAGGGUUAGGUUUAGUUUCAGGGUUUGGUUAGGUUUAUGUUUAGGGUUAGUGUUAAGGUUACUGAUAAGGUUAGGUUUAGGUUUAUAUUUAGCGUUUGUGUUAGGGUUAGCUUAACAUUAGGAUAUGGGAUAGCAUAGGGUUGGUUUAUAGAUUGUCAUAGGUUUCUUGUAAGGAUGAGAUUCAGUGCGAGCGCUAGGGUAAGGGUUAGGGUUAGGGAUAGGGUUAGGGUUAAGGUUAGGGUUAGCUUAGGGUUACAAUUAGGGUUAGGGUAGGGUUAGGGUUAGGGUUAGGGUUAGGGUUACGGUUAGGGUUAGGUUAGGGAUAGUGUUAGUGUUAGGGUUAGGGUUAGGUUUAGGGUUAGGGUUUUGUUAGGGUUAGGGUUUUGUUAGGGUUAGGGUUAGGGUUAGGGUUAGGGUUAGGGUUAGGGUUAGGGUUAGGGUUAGGGUUAGGGUUAGGGUUAGGGUUAGGGUUAGGGUUAGGGUUAGGGUUAGGGUUAGGGUUAGGGUUAGGUUCGGGUAAGAUUUCGAGUAGAGUUAGGCUUAGUGUUAGGAUUAUGGUUAGGGUUAGGAUUUGAGUUUGGAUUGGGUUAAGGGUCAGGGUUAGGGUUAGGGUUGAGGUUAGGGUUAGGGUUAGCGUUAGGGUUAUUGAAAGUUAUUCUGUUAGGGUUAUGGUUAGUGUUAAAGUUAGGGUUAGGGUUAGGUUUAGGGUUAGGGUUAGGGUUAGGGUUAGGGUAAGGGUUAUGGUUAGGUUAAGGGUUAAGGUUAGGGUUAAGGUUAGGGUUAUAGUAAGGGUUAGGGUUAGGAUUAGGUUUAAGGUUAGAGUUAGUGUUAGUGUUAGGGUUAGGGUUAGGUUUAGGGUUAGGGUUAGUGUUAGAGUUAGGGUUAGGUUUAGGGUUAGGAUUAGGUUUAGGGUUAGGGUUAGGGUUAGGGUUAGGGUUACGGAUGGGGUUAGGGUUAGGGUUAGGGUUAGGGUUCUGGUUAGGAUUAGGGUUACGGAUGGGGUUAGGGUUAGGGUUAGGGUUAGUGUUAGGGUUAGGUUGAGGGUUAGGGUUAGGGUAAGGGUAGAGAUAUGGUUAGUGUUUAAGUUAGGGUUAGGGUUAGGUUUACGGUUAGGGUUAGGGUGAAGGUUAGGGUUAGUGUUAGGGUUAGGUAUAAGGUUAUUGAGAGGGUUAGGGUUAGGGUUAGGGUUCAGGGAUAGGGUUAGGGUUAGGGUUAGGGUUAGGUUAGGGGUAGGUUUAGGGUUAGGGUUUGGGUUAGGCGUAGGCUUAGGGUUGGGGUUAAGGUUAGAUUAGGGUUAGGGUCAGAGUUAGUGUUAGGGUUAGAAUUAGGGUUAGGGUUAGGGUUAGGGUUAGGUUUAGGGUUAGGAUUACUGUUAUGGUUAGGUUUAGGGUUAGGGUUAGGGUUAGGGUUAGGGUUAGGGUUAGGGUUAGGUUUAGGGUUAGGGUUAGGGUUAGGGUUAUGGAUACGGUUACAGUUUGGUUUAGGGUUAGGUUUACGGUUAGGGUUAGGGUUAGGGUUAGGGUUAGGGUUAGCGUUAGGGUUAUUGAAAGUUAUUGUGCUAGGGUUUUGGUUAGUGUUAAAGUUAGGGUUAGGGUUAGGUUUACGGUUAGGGUUAGGGUUAGGGUCAGGGUUAGGGUAAUGGCUAAGGCUAGGGUAGGGGUUAAGGUUAGGGUUAGGGUUAGGGUUAUUGUAAGGGCUAGGAUUAGGAUUAGAAUUAGGGUUAUGGUUAGGUUUAGGGUUACGGUUAGGGUUAGGUUUAGGGCUAGGUUCUGGUAAGAUUUCGAGUACGGUUAAGCUUAGUGUUAGGAUUGUGGUUAGGGUUAGGGUUAGGUUUAGGGUUAGGGUUAGGGUUAGGGUUAGGGUUAUGGUUAGGGUAGGGUUAGGGUUAGGGUUAGGGUAAGGGUUAGGUUUAGGGUUAGGGUUAAGGUUAGGGUUAAGGUUAGGGUUACAGUAAGGGUUAGGUAUAGGAUUAGGUUUAGGGAUAGGGUUAGUGUUAGGGUUAGGGUUAGGGUUAGGGUUAGGGUUAGGGUUAGGGUCAGGGUAAGGUAUACGGUUAGGGUUAGGGUUAGGGUUAGGGUUAGGGUAGGGUUAGGGUUAGGGUUUGGGUUCGGGUUAGGGUUAGGGUUAGGGUUAGGGUUAGGGUUAGGGUUAGGUUUAGGGUUUGGCUUAGGGUUAGGGUAAGGGUAGAGAUAUGGUUGGCGUUAGGGUUAGGUUUAGGUUUAUGGUUAGGGUUUGGGUUAUGGUUAGAUUCAGGGUUCGGGUUAGGAUCAGGGUUAGGGUCGGGUAAUAUUAACG